UGAAUCAGAUGAUCUUAAGAGGUCCCUUCCGACCUCAGCCACUGAGUGAUUCAAAGAUCUCAUGCAGCAGGAUCCCUAACCACCUCCCACGCAGUCAGAUAAUACCACAGUCGUGUGUCAUCCUUCCCCCAACCCCCCAGAGGGCUAUAGGGCCAUGGGCACUGGAUUCAGUUUCUUGACACUCUUCUAGAGUAAUAGCUGGAGUCCUUUUGGGUUACACCACAGUGCUUAAAUAUUCCUUAACUAUGCUGCAAUAUAGGCAUGAUCUGAAACUUCCUUGGCUGCCUGAAAUCCACAGGGUUAUCUGCUCCAUUAGUCUGGCAGAUAUAUCACAGGCUUAUGGGAAAGUCACACUGUUCUGCACUAGAAGCAAAACAGGAUGAUGUAGGACUUUUAUAGCACUGCUAGAUAUUUGUCUUCAAGCAACCAAAUCAAGUUUAUUUGAGCUGUUCAACCAAAUCACUCCUUAAAUGCUGAUGACUGUGCUGAUUAGAUUGUCAUUGACUUUGAUGGGGGUGUGGGUGCUGACUUACCUAUAGAUAUUUACGGUCAAAUAUCAUAAUCUUGAUCUGAAUCCCAGCCAUAUAUUCAGUCAUCUGAAUCUCUCUAUUUCAUUUUUACUCUCUGUUGGAAGGAAAUUAUGUCCAUGGGACAAGCAAUCUUUUGGCAUGUUCUUCCUAAAAACAUGCAAUUUUGUUUUCUGACUUUGAUGGUACUAUGCUACCCGUUAGUUUUAUGUAUCUUGGAGUCAUGUGUUCUUAUGACAGUGAUUUAUUUUAUACAUACUUUAAGCUGAACAGUGUGUAGAAAAAGGGCAAUAGACCUAAACAUAUUGUAAUUAAUACACUGAAUUUAUGGCUUUUUUUCUGUAGUCUCUGUAAUGUUUUGGACAGUUACAUUAAACAUAGCAUUUAUUCAGUACAUAGAGAAUGUACAUUUCCCAGUUAUAUAUAAAAAAAAAAAAAAAAAGAUGUCCAAACUCCUUAUAGACUUUGAGGAAAACAUUCAUUCUUUGAUUUUAUUCUUUCAAGUGCAAAC
rnacentral:lncRNA from 1 species